rnacentral:rRNA from 1 species
UACGUAGGGGGCUAGCGUUGUCCGGAAUCAUUGGGCGUAAAGAGCGUGUAGGCGGUCCGGUAAGUCCGUUGUGAAAGUCAAAGGCUCAACCUUUGAAAGCCGAUGGAUACUGUAGAGCUAGAGUCCGGAAGAGGCGAGUGGAAUUCCUGGUGUAGCGGUGGAAUGCGCAGAUAUCAGGAAGAACACCCGUGGCGAAGGCGGCUCUCUGGGACGGUACUGACGCUGAGACGCGAAAGCGUGGGGAGCGAACAGG